GCAAACAUGCACCAUUGAGCAACUUAGAUGCCUGUUGCCGCCAUCGGAAGCGAAUGGGAGGUCGAAAAUGAGAAGCGAGAAAUGACGCACAGAACUUUUUUUGCAGUGAUUUAUUGUACUUCAACGGCAUCCGAUAGCUUUUGGGGAAGCGCUUAUAGAACUUGCAGUUAGUAUUCCAUUGGUCGAGAUCGCGAAUGGGUUCACUUAGAUCGCUGUAAGUUUUGAGGCGAAGGUGCGCGCGAAUAGAAAAAUCGUAAUUCCGAAAUUUUUUUGAAAGCAUUGUACUACUACUUGUCCAGAGGUGUAUGUAGAUAAAAUCGCCCAGUAAAUAAAUAUUGUUUAGAUGGUGCAUACAUAUGUAUGUAUACACACAUGGAAUCAAUAAAAAGGAAUAAAGGACUAUACAGUUGUGAAUUACAUAUUUAUAUAUUGACAAGAAAUACAUUUGUAUAUACAUACUUAUGCGUAUUAUAGACUUUGGAUGUGUCGUGUGAGGAGAUCAACAAAAACCAGUGAACGAUUCUUUUUGCACACGUGUGUCGGUUAUAAACUUUUGAUAAUAAACAAAAAAAAAGCGAAAAAGCUGAGUGAGCACAAAACGAAAAGGCCA